GAUGAACGCUGGCGGCGUGCCUAAUACAUGCAAGUCGAGCGAACAGACGAGGAGCUUGCUCCUCUGACGUUAGCGGCGGACGGGUGAGUCACACGUGGAUACCCAACCUUAAGGGCUGACGAACCUAAGGCAAUCCGAAUAAAUCACCGGAUAUACACUUGAACGCAAGGUUUCACAAGAAAAGGCGGGUUUGGUGGUGCCUAUUGCAGGUUCCGUGGCUGAUUAGGUAGUUGGUUAGGUAACGGCUUACCAAGGGCACGAUUCGUAGCCGGACUGAGAGGGCGAUCGGCCACACUGGAACUGAGACACGGCCCAGACUCCUACGGGAGGCAGCAGUAGGGAAUCUUCCGCAAUGGGCGAAAGCUUGACGGAGCAACGCCGCGUGAGGGAUGAAGGUCUUCGGAUCGUAAAACUCUGUUAUUAGGGAAGAACAAAUGUGUAAUUAACUAUGCACGUCUUGACGGUACCGAAUCAGAAAGCCACGGCUAACUACGUG
rnacentral:rRNA from 1 species